CGUGCACCGGUGGGGUCCCUUGGCCUGGCCUGUGCCCUCUCGCAAUCCGGGACUCCUCGGGGGAUGUUGGAGAGCCGGUUUUGGCCCGAUUCUGCAGGCCAGGCCAAGGGACCCCACUGGUGCACG
rnacentral:pre_miRNA from 1 species